rnacentral:rRNA from 1 species
AGUGAACGCUGGCGGUAGGCCUAACACAUGCAAGUCGAACGGCAGCACAGUAAGAGCUUGCUCUUACGGGUGGCGAGUGGCGGACGGGUGAGGAAUACAUCGGAAUCUACUUUUUCGUGGGGGAUAACGUAGGGAAACUUACGCUAAUACCGCAUACGACCUACGGGUGAAAGCAGGGGAUCUUCGGACCUUUCGCGAUUGAAUGAGCCGAUGUCGGAUUAGCUAGUUGGCGGGGUAAAGGCCCACCAAGGCGACGAUCCGUAGCUGGUCUGAGAGGAUGAUCAGCCACACUGGAACGGAGACACGGUCCAGACUCCUAAGGGAGGCAGCAGUGGGGAAUAUUGGACAAUGGGCGCAAGCCUGAUCCAGCCAUACCGCGUGGGUGAAGAAGGCCUUCGGGUUGUAAAGCCCUUUUGUUGGGAAAGAAAAGCAGCAGGUUAAUACCCCGCUGUUCUGACGGUACCCAAAGAAUAAGCACCGGCUAACUUCGUG